GAGCAGUUCAGCCCCAGAGCAGCAGUACUGGGCCUGUUUGGAGAGCUGUCUUCCUAGUCCAUCAGUAAUGACUUUGAUAACUGUUGGUUUUGAUUAGCAAGAUAGUUCUUUUGAAACUGUCCAGGCUUGAACACGUUAGCUUAUUUUAUGACUUUUGAUAACAGUAAGCUAUUAAAUGUUGUAAAUACAUGCUUUAGUUUUGAUACUGUGAUGUUUUUUCAAAUGAGUAAACUCACAUCAGGAAGAGAACCCUUUGCUGCAGCUUGGCAUAUUGGCUGUAUGAGGGUAGUGUGAGCUGCAAUAACAAAAGGGCCCUGCAGAUAUUCGUGGCUCAACUCUUAAAGUAAGACAGAGAAAUUUAGUAGUUUGUCGGCUAGGAAAUUAAAGGGUCAGUCUUCCUGUUCAGGCAGUUGGGCUCCAGAACACCUGUUCUUCACCUCUCUGCUCUAUUUCCAUCCAACAUGCCAAGACAACUCUGAAAUAUUAUUUCUUUCCCCCACUUUCUCAUACAUGGGAGGGUCAUCUCCCAUGUUGCUGUGCAUGCUGCAGUGUGCAUCUAACUGGAGACACGGAAGUAGUGGAUACAUCAGACCAGAUAACACAUUAUAAGUUGCUGUAAAACUAGCUUGCCUGGGAGUUUCUGUUGUGACUCAGAGCUGAGCUGCCUCAGGAGGCAGUGGAAGUGUUGAGAGACAGGGAUGGAGGCCACUUGACAGUAACAUCCAAAGAAAAUUCAAGAGCCGAGUCAGAGAAUGGACUAGUGUUCCUGAAAGUCGAAUCACGACCUGGGGAGAUAAAUGCCUGCUGUCUGUCACUCCAGAAAGAUUGAUGGCAUCUGAUCCCCUCCCUGCCCAACGCCUCUUGCCUCACUAGUGACUGACAUCUUCAGCAAAUCACGGGAAGUUCCUUUCUUACAGGAUCAUGGGGGCUAAGACACCUUUUGACAAAAUAAACCAAAUUGUUGCCAUGAAAUCAACAAACCAUUUUCCAAGCUUUGGACAACAUCCUAACUUAGGCAAAGGAACUCUGGAGAUGUUGACGAACCUGGGAAAACAGAUGUCUCCAGCCGACUGGUCAUCAAUGGGAGUCAAGCGGAAGCUUGGGAAAUUCAGGUGCCGUGGUUCUUUGCUUGGGGAUCCUCAGCCCGGGCUCAGCUUGGAGUAUUUCCUGGUGACAGGAAGAGUGGAGACAAAUAAGAAAAGUGAAUUCUCAAGCUUGGAGCGGUCAGCAGAGUCAAAGCAUCUUUGCUGACUACACCUGGGAAUUGCUGUAAAACCAAAGGAGGCAAUUCUUGCUGAGUGUCCAAAUCAGAAACCUAUAGAAAGUUUAUAAGGAAGCUAUUUUUGUUUUGUUUUUUGUUUUUUGUUCUUUCCUGUUACAGCAGGCUUGCAUAAUUGAAAAGCUCUUUGGUCUUGAAACUGAGGGUUUUAUUCUAGAAUUAGAAAUGUUAGAAAAAUCACAUAGUCUAAUCUUCCCUUCCCAGUUUAUAGGUGAGAAAACUAAAGUCUGGAGAGGUUAGGGAACUUGCCCAAGUCUACUCGGUGUUAGUAACUGAUUCAGAACCAUAACCUGUUCUCUGGUCUCACCAAGUGUUUCUACCUCAAACUGCUGUCUUCGGUAUUUAUUUAGAAUUUAUUCAAAUAUAUUCUGUGCUCCCUCAUCACCAGGUGUUUAUAUAAAAUUAACCUUUUCUUUCAAAACAAUUUUAGACAUAGAUAGAAGUUAUAGAAAUAGCACAGUGUUUUCAUAAUACUUCACCUGGCUUCCUUAUAAUAACAUCUAACAUAACGAUAGCCCCUUUCAGAGUUCCCAUCGUGGCUCAGCAAUAAUGGACCCAACUAGCAUCCAUGAGGAUGCAGGUUUGAUCCCUGGCCUUGCUUGGUGGGUUAAGGAUCUGGCAUUUCUGUGGCUGUGGUGUAGGCCAGCAGCUACAACUCUGAUUCGACCCCCAGCCUGGGAACCUUUAUAUGCUGUGGGUACAGCCAUAAAAAGAAAAAAAAAAUGAUAGCACUGUUGUCAAAACCAGGAAAUUGACAUAGCAGAACACUAUUAACUACAGAUCUUAAUUGCAGUUUUACUAGUUCUGAUAGGUACUCUCUUAAAAAAAUUUAAUGUGUGUUUUAUGAGAUUUUACCACGCUUGCAUAACCACCAACACAAGCAGGACAGGGAACUGUUUGAUUAUCCCUGAAAAGUUCCUUGACCCCUCCCUCCAAGCUUUUUGUUUGUUUUUGUAAUGUUUUGUGUUUUGA
rnacentral:lncRNA from 1 species